rnacentral:rRNA from 1 species
GAUUAACGCUGGCGGCGUGCCUAACACAUGCAAGUCGAACGAGGUAGCAAUACCUAGUGGCAGACGGGUGAGUAACGCGUGGUCAACCUACCGUUGAGUGGGGGAUAACUAGCCGAAAGGUUAGCUAAUACCGCAUACGUCUCCGAGGGGCAUCCCUUGGCGAUAAAAGGAGCAAUCCGCUCGAUGACGGGACCGCGUCCCAUUAGCUAGAUGGUGGGGUAACGGCCUACCAUGGCACCGAUGGGUAGCUGGUUUGAGAGAGCGACCAGCCACACUGGGACUGAGAAGCGGCCCAGACUCCUACGGGAGGCAGCAGUGAGGAAUUUUCCGCAAUGGGCGCAAGCCUGACGGAGCGACGCCGCGUGUGGGAAGAAGGCCUUCGGUCGUAACCAC